CCUGCCUCAGUUUCCCGCCCUGCUCCCAAGCCGAGGCCCCGCGGGGCGCAGAGCCGCUCCUGGGCUGGCACGUCCUGGGGGCACCGGGCUGCAAAGACGUCGAGGAUGGAGAGUCCACCACCUCCCUGGGUACCCGGUUCCAGUGCUUCACCACCCUCCUCGUGAGAAAGUUUCCCCUGAUAUCUAACCGCAGCUUCCCUUGCUGCAGCUUGAGCCCAUCGCUCCUUGUUCAGUCAUCCGCCCCCACCGAGAACAGCCCAGCUCCAUCCUCUUUCCACCCCCACUUCAGGGCACAGGCACAGCUUGGGCCCCAGAGAGGUCAUAAACCAUGGGGAGCCUGGCUGCAGAGACAUUUGGGGCAAGACAACUUCUGCUUCUACAGUCCGGGCCUUGGCCUCUCCAGUGAGACAACUGAUACAGGGGAGCAUCUGCAUGCCCACCGGGGAGGAUCAGGGCAGCCACAUUUCAAGCUCCCUUGGGGGCAGGGAAGAGUUGAGCUGGUGGUGGGGCUGGGAUGCUGGAAGACAUUUGUUUUUGUGACUGCCAUGCAAUUACGGGGGGCACAAAGCCAUGAGCCGUGGCUCUGCUAACCCAGUACCAAGGGCCCCGCGUAUCCCCGCCCUCUCCUUUCCAGGCUACACCAAAAAGCCGUGCAUUCUGCUCACUGCUGCCUGCAACGUUCCCCAAGAGUCUGGAGUUGAUCAGAGGCCAUGUGGCAGCUGUUUUAGCUUCUCAGGCCCCACUGGGGGUGCAUUUGGGUCCAACCUACAGCAUCUCGGUCUAAGCACUGCCAGUCUAAGACUCUUUCAGAAGCCAGUGGAGCAGUUUUUCUAGUGGCCUUUUCCCACCUCAUCACCCCUGGGCCUUGAUCACUGCUGAGCCAGGCAGAACUGGACCAUGUUUGGAGUUCAGGGCACAGCUCUGUGGCUGACUGCGAUGCAAAAGAAGCAGCACCUGGGAUUGGCAAAGGAGGUGAAUGGGUUCAGAUGCCCCCUGUCAACGGGACUGGAGGACCUGGGUCACUUCAGAACCAGCCUUCCCCAAGUUCCCUCGGUCUGGCUGACCGGAGUCGGCUUAAUCAGGGAAUUACCUGCCAGCAGCGAGAGCCGCAGGUUGCCCAAGGACGGAAGUGCCGUCCGCAGGUCACUCUCCAGCGUGGCACAGCAGAGCCUGGUUGGCAGGGCAAGGAGUGGGGUGGCAGUGGAGACAAGGCAGCUCAGGUUCAGCCCCGGCAGGGAAUCCAGCGGGAAUCAUGAACUUCUCAACUGAUUUCAAACCCAAGUGGCUGCCUCUGUUCUGCUGCUUGACCCACGGUGCCUCACUCAGGCAGAUCCAGGCAGUUGUGAAUGCCCCUGCUUGCUGCGUGGGGGGCACUGUGGGAAGGGAAGCAGGUAGGACAUUACUCCCCAGUCAUUCCUUUGCAUUACAGCCAGUAGCAGCUACUACAGCCCAGCCCCUUCUGCUGCUAGGGCAGCGACUAGCUGAAGGUCUGAAUGUGGGAUGUGCUCUGGGUAGAAUGCCCUUGGCGGAGCUCUGUGGUGGGCCCAGCAGUGAUAGGGCCCACCAUAGAGGACAGAAAUGCUGAGACCGAGGAAAGAAGUGCAGGGGGCACAACAGAGCAGGCAGAAGUCUGCAGGAGCUGACUGCUGGGGCUGUGCCAGUGGUCUGUAGCUGAUGCUCUUGUGUCUGUAAGGAGGGGGCAGACCAACCAGCAGUCAGGGUGGUGAGGAACAAGGGCCAUGUGCCCUGAGGGGGGAGGUGGGGAAGUUUCUUCUGAUUAAAGCAAAUGUUCUGGGGGGACUCAGCAGCUGUGCAUCCUGCAGAGACUCAUCCAGCUGGGACAGAGGACCAUGGUCUUGAUUCUGGUCCUAGCAAUGCCACCAAUUCCCUGCAUGAGCCCUAGGUCGGUCACAGGUGGCUGCAAGAAGCAAGAACAGGCUGGCUCAGGAGGGGCAUGUUUGCUGCGCCUUGAGAUCUUUCCAGGAAGCAUCCUACAAGUGCUUCCCUUGUGCAGGGCAGGGCUCUCCUCCCCUAGCCCAGCUGCAGAAGAGAAUGGGAAGGUCCUAGAAGAGCUGCUGCACAUACAGCUCCUCAUUGCUCAACCAGAGUCACAGUGGUUCCCUGGCUGCUCCGGCUGUUGUAGCUAAGAACCAGGGUUCUUUGCAGUGCUCCUCCUGUGGCCUCGCAUGUGGGACAUCAGGGGGAAGAGCCAGUGCCUCCAUGGGUGGAAAAGCUUCCAUCAGGCAUGGUGGAUGGGAGCCCAGAGGCUAGGACCAGCAGCUGGAGUAAAAACAGGGCCCUGAGAAAGCUCUAAACACUCCUUCCCCCCCAUCCCAAGUGCCCCCAUGCUAAUUUUGCUCGAGGGGUAGAAGCAGCCCACCACACACCCCCAGCCUGCACGCAGGAGCGUUGUGCUUUCGCCAUCAUGUUCCUUGGCACUCUGGUAUUUUACCAUUGGAUGCAUUAAGGCUUCUUCUGCUAUUGCUACAUAGGGAUCUGGAAGCUCUGGAUGCCAGGGGUAUUAGCUGCAAGCUGCCUGCUAGUCAGUCCUGGAUGUCCAGGGCAGGCCUCCCCAGCCUGUGCUGAAAGCAGCAUCCUAGGCAGAGAGGGCAGGAACAGACAUGUCCUGGGGCCACAGGGGCCUGUCCCAACUCGGCCUCUGCAGAUCCCAUGGUACUCCAACAGCCUGUUCAGAAAACCUGGCAGCAAUGACCCUGCCUUAAGAGCCAAGUCAGGCAGACUCAAGGCUCUCCUGGAGAUGUUCCCACCACCAAGACUGCUCCUUUGCAGUGGGAGACCAUGGGGGCUGAGCUGUUUGAGAUGGCAGCCAGGUGGAAAGGAGAAGCUUAUCGCUCCUUCUGGGGACAGUGACAAGGGACAGCUGCAUCGUGGCCCUCCUCACUCCCCUCCACACCAUGGGUCCUAGCACGAGCCAUUGGUGAACACAGAGCAGCUGCUCUACUGGACCCAUCUGUGCACCAUCCCCCAGACAUCCUGCACUGCUGCAGGGGCUAAAAGCAACACUGUGGGUUAUUUGCACUGUUGGAAAAAGCCCAUCCUCAAAACUCUGUCCCUUCUCAUGGCACCUGCAAUCCAACCAUGUUUGGGGGGAGCACAGCAGGUCUAUAUCCAUGACCUGGUCACCCCAAGCUAAUAUUUCUCUGGAAAGCCAAGCAGGCGCAGUUGUGAAUGAAGGGGGGACUUAUCAGAGAACAGCACGCUGCACAUGGAAUGUAUAUUCAUAUAUAGUAAAAAGUCUUUAUUAAGAAGGCUUUGAAGUCAAAAAAUAAAACUCUUGAUACAAUUUCAUAACCGUCAAGUCAGCUCAGCAAAUAUAUAAUCAGUACUUUAGCCAUGUAAGGUCAAAGGUCCGUUAUUUUCUUUUAAAAUAAAAUAUAUUUUAGUUUUUAAAAUUUAUUCAAUAAAGUCCAUAUUUCCCUAUAAAUUCCCUACAUAUACAGAAGAGGUAAAAAAUAAAAAAAUAAAACUAAAAAAAAAAAACAAAAA